rnacentral:lncRNA from 1 species
CCGGCUAGGGUUGGCUCCUCCGGUGAGCUCGGGUGGCGGCGGCGGAGGCUCGGGCGGUGGCGGCGCGGGCGUUCCGGUGAUCGUUCGAGCUCGGGAAGAAGUUGGGGAGGGGUGGAGCGAAGAGACGAAGAAGAUGGCGGUGCUGGCGAUCCUUGGUUCGGGCGGAGGUGUGCGCUUCGUCCUCCAGAAGUCGACGGCGGCGGCGGUUACUUCGGGUUGGAGUCGACGGCGAGCUACGGGGCUCCAAAAAUUAAACGGAGCGCGUCACAACGUCGGCAAAGAUGAGGGGAAAAAGGAGAGGCAGGUAGUCGCGAUUUUGUCUCACCGGGUCGACGGCGGCGGCAGUGGCUUCUCCGGCGAGCUUUUUGGGGGGCCUGGCGGCGUGGAAACGGUUGAGCGAGAGAGGGGAAAGGAUGCAGGGGCGAGGUGCUUUUAAGUGACGCGGAUAGCUUCGGGUAUGGUGGAGUGGGCGAGGAGAAAACGGUCGUGGGGAUCGUGGACGCGCGCUCGGGUUCGUGCCGGAGAAAUAGGGGCAGUCGUCGGAGGUUGAAGAUGAGCCCGACCGGUGGGUCCCACCUGUCGAUGGCAGCGGCGGCGCACGGGCUGUGGAGAUGGGCCGCGGCACUCGGAUAAGUGGGCCGGCCCGGUUGGAGUCAGUCCGUUACCCCCUUUUUUUUCUUUUUUUUCUUCUUAUUUUCUGUUUUUGAUUCUAACUUUUGAUUUAAAGCUUCAAAUUGAGUCAAAUAAAAUGCAACAAAAAUUGUAAAAUCAUAUCUUCAUAUGAUUCAACUUUUGGGACAAGAAUUUCCUCAAAAUAAAAUAUUUAAAAAUAGUUUUGCCUAUAAACUUGCCUUUAGGACUUUUUAGCUAUUAAAAUAUUUAGAGCUUCAAAUCCAAUUCAAAUACCAAUAUAUGGGGUGGCAUAUUUAUUGCAUUAAACCCCUUUUCAUGCCAAAACUCUCAUGGGUUAAAAUGCAAUUAACAAAGUUUCAAGAUGUAAUAUCAUAGAACAAAGGUCUCAAUAUUACAACGUAUCAUCCAGAAUUUAAAAGGUACUUACAACUCGCAU